UACAGAGGGGGCAAGCGUUGUUCGGAAUUACUGGGCGUAAAGGGCGCGUAGGCGGCCUUCUAAGUCGAACGUGAAAUCCCUGGGCUCAACCCAGGAACUGCGUCCGAUACUGGAAGGCUUGAAUCCGGGAGAGGGAUGCGGAAUUCCAGGUGUAGCGGUGAAAUGCGUAGAUAUCUGGAGGAACACCGGUGGCGAAGGCGCUCUGCUAGGCCGCAACUGACACUGAGGGACGAAAGCUAGGGGAGCGAAUGGG
rnacentral:rRNA from 1 species